rnacentral:rRNA from 1 species
AUGCACGCGACCUCUCCUUUCCUCUCCAAUCUCUCUCGUUUUUCCUUCACAUCGGCAAGGGUUGCCGCCGCCGCCGCCUCGCUCACUCCCCAAAUUUUCUCCCCCCUCCCCAAAUCCUGCAGCGGCCGCCUCUGCUGCUCCUGCGCCUGGUCGUCGCCGCCUCUGCUGCUCCUGCGCGUGGUCGUCAGCGCCUCUCCUCCCACCUCAGCGUCCAACCGCCUCAGUGCCUCUUCCUCUUCAUCUCGGACGGCGUCGAGUGCGGCCGCCCCGUGCUCUCUCUCUCUCUCCCAGGUCGACCCAGGAGGAGCUCGAGCGGCAGCGCUGGUCCACGGCGCCGUCGUUGUUGGCAGGAGCGUGAGCGCACAGACGGUCGUCUCCCUCCGGCUUCAUGUCGCCGUCCAUCAACCCGUGAGGUCAGUCCCUGCGUCCUCGCCUCAACCCUCGCUGUCACGCAAGCCUUCUCCUCCGUCCUCUCAAUGUUUUGCGAUGAACUGGCUGCCGACGCUGCAGUGUAGACCACCAUGAAGGUGGUUGUUGGUUGAAUGUCAGAGUUGUAGUUCUUCAUCGAUCGCUGAUCUUGUUCGUCUCUGAAUUCUGCGCUUGUCAUCGUCACCAUGAAAUUGAACUAAUCGACCCCAGCUCACAGAUUUGCCUUGCUGUUUCAUCUGCUCAGAGUAUCAUCUUUCUGUUGAGGUAUAUGUGAAGGUGGUGCGCAAACCUGGUAGUAAAGACCUACAAAAAGUCUGAGGUGGAAAUUUACGUCCUUGUGAAGGAUGAAGGUGGUCGCCACACUGCCUUCUUCUCAAACUACAGCCCACAGUUCUACUUCAGGACAGCUGACAUCCGUGGGAAAAUCGAGUUGCCUCCGGACGUGAAGAUGGUUAUGCCUGGUGACAACAUAACUGCAAUCGUCGAGUUGAUGUUGCCUGUUCCACUCGAACCAGGGCUAAGAUUUGCGCUCAGGGAAGGAGGGGGGACCGCUGGUGCCGGAGUCAUUGCCGAAGUCAUGAGCUAAUAACAAUAAUAUGUUCCAGACCUUUCUCUUUUUACUUCUCAAUUAAUUCGAGAUUUGUUUUGUAAGGAUUUCAAUGCUGUGAAUCAAAUGUCAAACGUAGGAAAAACAAAUUAAGGAUCUAAAUCCUACAAUUUUUAAAAUAAAUUUUCUAUGAAUCAAAGGAGUCGGUAGAGUAGAAGCGUGCAGAACACUAGCUACUGAAAUAUGAGUACGGCCAGAAACAUCUCUUCAACUUAUUAGUGCAUAUCCAACGCCCUCCUGUAAAACGUCCAGACCGACGCGUCCGGACGCACUUGGUGGGAGUAUAAAUCUCAUUGGAUCAACAUUUAAGUAGCACUUGAUUAAGGAUACUAUGGGAUCUUGGAGACCUCAGAUGUAGGUGAGGAUGAGAUGCCAGAUAUGAAAUUAUGAAGGAUGAGACAUGUCUGAAGAAGAAGGCUCGGCUAGGUGGUUGUUGGUUGAGUGUGAGAGCUGUACUCCUUCAUCGAUCUCUGAUCUUGUUCGUCGAUGAAUUCUGCGCCUGUCAUCGUCGCCAAGAAAUCGCACUAAUCGGUUCGUCGUCAGAUUUGCCAUGCUGUUUCAUGUGCUCAAAGGAUCAUCUUUCUCUUCAGGUUUAGAGACGAGGAUCCAGAGAAAUAUUAUGCUCAGCCAUCCUUCUGUAUCAACUUCUGUAUCAACUGUAACGGUGAGACUUUUACAUUAGCUAUGGAAGAAGAGGCCAAAGAUCAAAUACUAUGUCUGCACCAUCAGCAAGACAUUUGCCAAACCAGGGCAAUGCAUGUACUUUCACAUGGAGUACACUGAGGACAAGCUACAGAAAUACAUCAAGAAGAUGAUGACACAUUGCCACUCAAGCUCGGAGACGGAACCGUGAGCUGCGAUGGUCGCUACAUGCUUGGAACCGACAAGAGGGCCACCACAUCAUGACGAACUGUCAUAUGGUUUCGCCAUCACGCCAACAUCAAAAGAGGGCGACAUGUGCGCCUUCCAUUUCAAGUGCAAGGAAGGGCACCGCCUCUCCUUCACCAACCAGUCUCUAGGCAUAACGUCAUCAGCAGGACCUGUCUUCUAUAUAUGACUUGACGAUUCCGUGUUGUGAUGGUCCGAUGAACUCUGCUUCUCUUUUGGAGACCGCCUACAUGUUGGAGCAUGUGCACAACUCCGCUACCAAGGCAAGUGCGCACAGGAUCGCACAGGAGGCACGCCUCGGGCGCGCCCCAGCCUCUAGUAAUAGGUACAACCCAGACCAAACUAAAUCAAUUUAAGGGAUUAGCCUAUUUCAUUCAAUCCAAAAGCAGUCCAACGGAAAAACUGACUGAAACUGUAGCUUCAGUCCAAACUAUUCACAGGCUUAAAUACACAAAAGUAAUUAGGUGGAUUAGUAGUAGAAGAAGCGACCUAGGUAGCACCCAAGUGAGAUGCUAGUAAAUUACUUGUGUAUAUGGGUGAGACAAGAGAAGAGGUAGUAGUUCUCUGUACUCUGUGGUGCGGCUGGGUAGAGAAGGAAUUAU